CAAAGAAUAAUGAAGGCUGAAAUUUCUUGGGAAAAAAGUUGGUCAGUUCUAUUUGAGUGGGAGGUGUGUAGGCACGCUGUUCCAGUUGAAGACACAAAAUGCUUCAAAUGUAUGAUUGAAGCCAGCAUCAAAUGUGAAGAUUGUCAUCGCCUAUUCUGCUACCACUGUGAUAU